UGUGGGAUAGCUCAGACAGCAGAGCAUAAGACUCUGAAUCUCAGAGUCCUGGGUUCGAGCGCCACGUUGGGCAA